AAGGAUUCCCCUAGUAACUGCGAGUGAAGCGGGAAAAGCUCAAAUUUAAAAUCUGGUGGUCUUUGGCCAUCCGAGUUGUAGUCUGGAGAAGUGCUUUCCGCGCUGGACCGUGUACAAGUCUCUUGGAAUAGAGCGUCAUAGAGGGUGAGAAUCCCGUCUUUGACACGGACUACCAGUGCUUUGUGAUGCGCUCUCGAAGAGUCGAGUUGUUUGGGAAUGCAGCUCAAAAUGGGUGGUAAAUUCCAUCUAAAGCUAAAUAUUGGCGAGAGACCGAUAGCGAACAAGUACCGUGAGGGAAAGAUGAAAAGCACUUUGGAAAGAGAGUUAAACAGUACGUGAAAUUGCUGAAAGGGAAACGCUUGAAGUCAGUCGCGUGAUUUGGAACUCAGCCUUGCUUUUGCUUGGUGCACUUUCUGAAUGACGGGCCAGCAUCAAUUUUGACCGUUGGAAAAAGGCCGGGGGAAUGUGGCACCUACGGGUGUGUUAUAGCCUCUGGUCACAUACGACGGUUGGGAUUGAGGACCGCAGCACGCCGCAAGGCAGGGGUUUGCCCACUUUCGUGCUUAGGAUGCUGGCAUAAUGGCUUUAAACGACCCGUCUUGAAACACGGACCAAGGAGUCUAACAUGCCUGCGAGUGUUUGGGUGGAAAACCCGAGCGCGUAAUGAAAGUGAAAGUUGAGACCUCUGUUGUGGAGGGCAUCGACGCCCGGACCUGACGUUCUCUGAAGGAUCCGCGGUAGAGCAUGUAUGUUGGGACCCGAAAGAUGGUGAACUAUGCCUGAAUAGGGUGAAGCCAGAGGAAACUCUGGUGGAGGCUCGUAGCGAUUCUGACGUGCAAAUCGAUCGUCAAAUUUGGGUAUAGGGGCGAAAGACUAAU
rnacentral:rRNA from 1 species